GGGCAGGUCGCAUAGUGGCAAUUGCAGCGGACUGUAAAUCCGCCGACUCCGGUCUACGCCAGUUCGAGUCUGGCCCUGCCCAC
rnacentral:tRNA from 1 species